CAAUAUAAGUGAUGGCGACCGGCGCACGGGUGAGUAACACGUAUCCAACCUGCCGAUAACUCGGGGAUAGCCUUUCGAAAGAAAGAUUAGUACCCGAUGGCAUAUAUUUCCCGCAUGGGUUUUAUAUUAAAGAAAUUCGGUAUGAGAUGGGGAUGCGUUCCAUUAGUUUGUUGGGGGGGUAACGGCCCACCAAGACUACGAUGGAUAGGGGUUCUGAGAGGAAGGUCCCCCACAUUGGAACUGAGACACGGUCCAA
rnacentral:rRNA from 1 species